UCUGUGCGCAUGCGCGGUGAGAGCAGCGAGUGGCGCUCAAUGCUCCGGCUUUUCUCUCGCGAGGAAGGACGCCAUUAUCGGAAUCCUCACAAACAACACGAGAAUUCAUCAUUCACACGGUUUGAAUGAUGUCAGAGCAGGAUUUGGUGGAGAUAGUCCAGAUCGCAGUGGCAGAUUUGAACCAUGAAGGACACCAAACAGAUGUCCUAGAGAAUAAUGACGACGCUGAUCAACCAGGCAGGAAACGAGCAAGAAUGGACAUUAGUCAAGAAGCAUCUAUUAAGUCAAUGCUGGUGUCCAUCAGUCAGGCGAUCUGUCAGCGUCUGGACAGCAUGGAGGCGAAGCUGCAGGUUCUUGAGGCCACCUGUCGAGGUUUAGUCGAGAAACUGGACACAGUGAUGGGGAAAAACCAGUCGACCAUUCAAGUCCCCAUGGUGUCAGGAUCCCCGUUUGGAGCCACUCAGACCUGCGACAAAGUACGCUGUGUUGUUCCUCAGACGAACGUCAUAGUGAGCGGAGAACGGCCGAAGACGCGGGAGGAAACUUCACCGCGCGCCUCAGACUCAUUAGAGAACCUGCUCAGCAAUACUGUUGGUCGUGGAAGACAGAAGACGAUAGUGCUGAAGGUUCCCGUCCAGGAGGAGGUUCAGGAGGAUCAGGAAAGCGGCUCUGAAACGAGCGAUUCGGUUUCUAACAGCGGCCAGCCCUUGUCUCAAAAUACAAACAACGUAACGCUCAUCACUCUCAACUCAGAGGAGGACUAUCCGGCAGGAACGUGGCUGGGUGAUGAAAACAACCCUGAGAUGCGCGUACGCUCUCCCGUAUCUCCAGCGGACAUGCUGCACAUCAGCACCAACUGUCGCACAGCAGAGAAAAUGGCGCUGACGCUGCUGGACUACCUGUUCCACCGCGAGGUGCAGGCCGUCUCCAACCUCUCCGGACAGGGGAAACACGGCAAGAAACAGCUGGACCCGCUCAUGAUCUACGGCAUCCGAUGUCACCUGUUCCACAAGUUCGCCAUCACCGAGUCUGACUGGUACCGCAUCAAACAGAGCAUCGACUCCAAGUGUCGCACCGCUUGGCGCCGGAAGCAGCGAGGACAGAGUUUGGCGGUGAAAAGUUUCUCUCGACGAACCCCCGCCUCACAGAGCAGCUCAGAUGGAGUGUCAGCCGCAGAGACAUCGGCCAUCGAGACCUCUACUCAGCAGGCCUUGCACUACGCUCUGGCUGGAGCCGCACAGCAAGUUCAGAUCCACCGCAUAGGAGAAGACGGACAGGUGCAAGUAAUACCGCAGGGACACCUCCACAUCGCUCAGGUGCCACAGGGCGAACAGGUGCAGAUCACACAGGACAGCGAGGGCAACCUACAGAUCCACCAAGUGCAUGUUGGGCAAGACGGCCAGGUAAAUGUUCUAAGAGGACCACAACUCAUCGCAGUGGCGUCGACCGACGGGACCGGCGGGGUUGACGCAUCCCCUCUUCAGGGUAACGAUAUUCAGGUGCAAUACGUCCAGCUGGGAACGGUGACCGACCACACGGGCGCAGUACAAGCUGAAGCUCUGACUCCAGCGCUGCAGGCGGAGAUGGACGUGAAGGAGGCCAUUCAGCUCCAGCAAGCUGAGAACGGAGAGGUGGUUCAGAUCCAGAUGCCUGGCACUUGAGCCGCUCGCGCAAACUUCUCACGUGUGCGUAAACAAAGAUAUUUGGCGUCAAGGAAAGGGCGAAAAUGAGAAGCGUGGCCACUCAAACUUAAAUUCUCAACCAAAACCUCCGCCGUCAGUCAACAAUUAUUGACUAAAUCCAAGUAAAACAAAUGCAAUUUGUUGUAACGUCAGCUCGUAUGGAAACGACCAGUCGUCCCCAACCAAAAACAACCAUGGCGUCCGAUCUGCUUAGUAACAUACAUGGCUCGUCCAGUCUUUCUGACACUGAACAAAACAGCAAAGAACAGAAGGCUUUUUCUUCUCCAGUCUAUCUGAAGUACCUCACACGCAAGGAACAAGCAUGUUAAACUACAGAUUCAAGCAGACGGUCGAGUUGCUGGGCUUAAACCGGUUAUUUUUAGUACAUGAGCGUCACACUUCGUAGGCUUUGCUUAUCCGAUAUUACAAAAAAGCUGCAGUGUAAAAUACGCUUCAAUUCAUAAUCCGAGAUUUUUCCGUUUUGCGAUCCGUGAUUUUUGUGUGUGUGUGCGUGCGUGUGUGUUUGUAUCAGUGGAGAUCUGGGGGUUAUUUGAGGGCCGCCCUGUCUUCACUCAUCAGUAAUUAUUUGUUUUCAUAAUGGUUAGUCUAAAUAUUUUUUGUUUCAUAUAACAUUAUUGUACAGAAAAAAAAACUACUGAAAGUUUUGUGGAGCUUUUGUAGGGCAGUUUACUAAUACACAGGACAAUAUGACGAAAGUGGGCUGUGUUAGUAGUAUAUGAAAUAUGUACUUUUUCAUAUAUAUAAAUAUAUAUACAUAUAUUUGUGUAUGAAGGAUUUGUUCAAACUGAAUAAAUGAACUUUGUUUUGAAAUACAGUGUCUUGAGUAACGUCUUUAGCAGUAAUAAAAUUAGCAAAUUUCUGCAAGAACACAGACGUCACUUUCAAACCAAACAGCUUUCUGUUGUCAAUAGUAAUAAAUUUGCGUGACCAACUAGAAUAGGAUUAAAAUCUGUGGAAAUUUUUCACCGUCACGCAAAACUCUCAGUUGCACAAUUUCUAUUGAAUUGAUUUCACCUGUGAAAUUUGGCAAAGAUAUGGUAAAUGUUUCGCACCUUACUAUGAAUCAUUUUUUGGCAGGUCAUUGCUUUUAUAUUCUUGAGUAUCUACUGACACAAAUGUGGGCGUGAGAGUGAGAUUAUGAAUAUUUGGGAUGCCAUUCCUUACUACUCAUACUAAUUUUUCAGCUUGUUUUAAGAAAACAGUAUGCAAAUUUGCCAAAGGAAAAAUCUGAAAGACCUGCUAUACAAAUACUCUACAAAUAUCCCACAGUGCAGUGUGCCUGAAUUGAUUAUCUGUUUUCAGUGGGAUAAAUAAAACUGGAAGCAAUCACAGAUUUAUCGUUGUCUUAACUGAUUUGAUUUUAAAAUAUUGAAUUAGAUUUUAAAAAAUCAUUCAUUUGUAAUUGUUUAAAAGUUAAGAUUAGUGGUCAACAAAUAAUUUCAAAAGCUAAUUCUUAAAUUAUUAUUUCAAGUGAUAAAUAUGUCACAAUAGUUUUACAAAGUCACAGAAGUUAUUUAUUAUUACGAACUCACAGGAGCUUUGAAAUUAAUAGACAUGGGCCUAUAACUUGUGCAUUCUGACUCAGUUUUAGGGUUCCUUGAAAUUUUAAUUUAAAACAAAAUGUUUCUCUUUCAAAACAUGUUUUGCUUCAACCCUGUUACACUUAAAAUAUAAUGUCAAGAACAUUUCUGAAUUUAAAUGACACAACAUAACAGGGUUGAACAGGUUUUUUGAUUUUAGAGUAAAAUUAUUAAUUAAAUUAAAUUAAAAAUGAAAAAAAAUUCAGAUUAUUGUUACAAACUCACAAACUUUAAAGUUUAAAGUUUUUUUUUCACCCCUGUCACAGGAACUUUAAAAUUGGUAGACAUGGGCCUAUAACUUGAAUAGGUAGUCUGAACAGAGUCAAUUCUGACUUAGUUUUAGUGUUUCUUUGUAAUUAUGAUUUAAAACAAAAUGCUUUUUGUCUUUCAAAACAUGUUUUACAUCAACCCUGUUACAUCCAAUAAUUUGUGGGGUUGAUGAUCUGUUCAAAAAAUGCAAUAUUUAGUCAAUAUUCUUGUGAUUUGUACAAUAAGAACAAUGUUUUGCAGCAUAAAAUUGAUCAGUAUCAUUUUUUCCACAACAGAGUUGAACUUUUAAGCUUGACAGGUCCAAUAUAAGCGUAACUAAAAUGUAACGCAGAUGUACCAGAAUACAGAUGUUAAAAAAAAAGAAUCGUGGUCACAACAAAAUGAUGCCAAUCUCUCAAAUGUAAUGUCAAGAACAUUUCUGAAUUUAAAAGACACAACAUAACAGGGUUGAACAGGUUUUUUAAUUUUAGAGUAAAAUUAUUCAUUAAAUUAAGUUAAAAAUGAAAAAAAUUCAGAUUUAAAAUUCUGAAAAUUCAGUUUAUUGUUGCAAACUCACAAACUAUAAAGCUGUCUUUUUUUUUUAUACCCCUGACACAAGAACUUUAAAAUUGGUAGACAUGGGUCUAUAGCUUGAAUAGGAAGUCAGAA